GUGUCUUCAUCAUGGACAACUGCGAGGAGCUGAUCCCUGAGUGGCUGAGCUUUGUAAAGGGCAUUGUUGACUCUGAGGACCUUCCCCUCAACAUCUCCCGUGAGAUGCUUCAGCAGAACAAGAUUCUCAAGGUCAUCCGUAAGAACCUUGUCAAGAAGUGCGUUGAGCUCUUCUUCGAGAUUGCUGAGAACAAGGAGGACUACAACUGAUACAAGGAAGAAGCUUAACAACAUCAAGCUCUACGUCCGCCGUGUCUUCAUCAUGGACAACUGCGAGGAGCUGAUCCCUGAGUGGCUGAGCUUUGUAAAGGGCAUUGUUGACUCUGAGGACCUUCCCCUCAACAUCUCCCGUGAGAUGCUUCAGCAGAACAAGAUUCUCAAGGUCAUCCGUAAGAACCUUGUCAAGAAGUGCGUUGAGCUCUUCUUCGAGAUUGCUGAGAACAAGGAGGACUACAACAAGUUUUAUGAAGCGUUCUCCAAGAACCUCAAGCUUGGU
rnacentral:lncRNA from 1 species